UACCUAUUGUUGCCUCGGCGGUGCCUGUUCCGACAGCCCGCCAGAGGACCCCAAACCCUGAUUACAUUUAAGAAGUCUUCUGAGUAACCGAUUAAAUAAAUCAAAACUUUCAACAACGGAUCUCUUGGUUCUGGCAUCGAUGAAGAACGCAGCGAAAUGCGAUAAGUAAUGUGAAUUGCAGAAUUCAGUGAAUCAUCGAAUCUUUGAACGCACAUUGCGCCCGCUAGUAUUCUGGCGGGCAUGCCUGUCCGAGCGUCAUUUCAACCCUCAAGCCCCCGGGCUUGGUGUUGGGGAUCGACGAGCCUUAGCGCCCGUCGUCCCCUAAAUCUAGUGGCGGUCUCGCUGUAGCUUCCUCUGCGUAGUAGCACACCUCGCACUGGGAAACAGCGCGGCCACGCCGUUAAACCCCCAACUUCUGAAC
rnacentral:rRNA from 2 species